rnacentral:tRNA from 1 species
GCCUUCAUGGUGUAGCGGUCAGCACGCUUGACGCAUAUUCGCGAGGUCCGCGGUUCGAAUCCCGGUGAGGGCA